UUUGGUGUUCAUAGCGAUAUGGAUCACCUGUUCCCAUUCCGAACACAGAAGUUAAGCAUAUCAGCGGCGAAAAUAGCACUAUGUGCAAAAAUAGCACAAUGCCAAAG
rnacentral:rRNA from 1 species